rnacentral:rRNA from 1 species
UCGUGGAGUGAUCUGUCUGCUUAAUUGCGUUUCACUACUAUAAAGGGGACUGCGUACAGCGGUGUACUAUGUAUGCCAGUCGCAGUAAUUAUAUUCAAAAUCCCCAAAUGAAGGCAACGAACGUGACCGCAACCCUUUGUUAAAUCCCACCCAUUACAUGCGUGUGGAUUCAAACUAAGGGGACCGCCAGGCUUCUCAAACCGGAGGAAGGUUGCGGCAAUAACA